rnacentral:ncRNA from 1 species
CGACCCCAGGUCAGGCGGAGCUACCCGCUGAGUUUAAGCAUAUAAAUAAGCGGAGGAGAAGAAACUUACAAGGAUUCCCCUAGUAACGGCGAGCGAACCGGGAACAGCCCAGCUUGAGAAUCGGGCGGCUGUGCCGUCCGAAUUGUAGUCUGGAGACGCGUCC